rnacentral:lncRNA from 1 species
GCAGAGCACAGGAUGCAGAGCAGAGCCGAGUUUCAGAGGCUGCACAGAGUGAAGAUUCGGUACACGUGCCCGUUGGUCCGGUGACGAGAGCUAGAGCCAAGACGUUCAAGGCUAAUUUAAUGGCGUUAGUGGAAGAAAUCUGGAGGCAAGAGCUGAAAAGACCAAUUGGAGAAGGACCGACAGAUCAGAGCUCAAAGGUAGUAAACCUUAUUGCAUACAGACCAG